UUGGUUGCACAUGACCUCUUGAAUUUUCUUUGUCCUGACCUGCAAGCUGCAAGGUAACUUCUUGCCAGGUCUGUUGUGAUGAGUGCCAUAUUUGGGUUCAUGUUGAAUGUGACCUGACAUGCAACAACUUGGAGGUUAUUUCGUCACCUUGUUCUUAUGCUGAUACUUAAUGUCCUUACUGCUUGAUAUGCAAUUAUUCUACGAAUAUCCUUC
rnacentral:lncRNA from 1 species